GGAAGAUGGAGGCAAAACAGUCCUCCUUCUGCAACAGACUCAGCCACCAGCAGUGACUGGGUCUGAUUUGGCCCAGUCUCCCAGGGGCCGGAUGGGGCUCUCUGUGCAUGUCUGUCGGAUGGGCAGGACUGUUCGAGGGCUUUCCUUUGCCACCGGAAAUUCUGCGUCCCUUGAGCCUCCCCAGGUGUCUGAGCUGCAUCUGGUGUCCCAGCAUCCAACGAAACCUCGUGCAGGGCAGAGUGGACGGCGCUGCAGGCUUGGGAGCCGGCUGACGGGGUUCGGGCGCCUGCAGUGACGCUCCCAAAUCCCCGUGGCCUUGAGCACGUGCUGAAAACCUCACCAGCCUCGUUUCCUCCUCUGCAAAACGGGAACCUCCCUGCCAGUGUCUCUGCUUGCAUAGAUGAAGUGGGGCAGGUAAAGCAAG